rnacentral:miRNA from 1 species
AAGUUUGGAACAAGCUGUUAACAACUUGUAACAAGCUUGAUGGCAUUAUCAGACUUGUCACAAGGUUGUUCUAACAAGGCUGAUACAGUCAUGAUAAACAAGAAUGUUACAAGCUUGACGACACAAGGUUGUAACAAUACUGCUGUAUCACAACUGUAUCAAACUUGUUGGAACAACCUUGUAACAAGCCUGAUAAUAUCAACAAGAUUGUUACAAAUUGUUAACAGCUUGUCCCAAACUU